rnacentral:rRNA from 1 species
UUGAUCCUGGCUCAGAAUCAACGCUGGCGGCGUGCCUAACACAUGCAAGUCGAACGCGAAAGCCCCGCAAGGGGUAAGUAGAGUGGCGAACGGGUGAGUUACACGUGGGUGACCUACCUUCGAAUGGGGGAUAACGUCCCGAAAGGGACUCUAAUACCGCAUAACAUCCUGCCUUUGAACAGGUGGAGAUCAAAGCCGGUGAUCGCAAGACCUGGCGUUUGAAGAGGGGCCCGCGUCUGAUUAGCUAGUUGGUGAGGUAACGGCUCACCAAGGCGACGAUCAGUAUCCGGCCUGAGAGGUCGGACGGACACACUGGGACUGAGACACGGCCCAGACUCCUACGGGAGGCUGCAGUGGGGAAUUGUUCGCAAUGGGCGCAAGCCUGACGACGCAACGCCGUGUGGAGGAUGAAGGUCUUCGGAUUGUAAACUCCUGUUGCCCGGGACGAAUAGUUUCGACCUAACACGUCGAGAUCUGACGGUACCGGGUGAGGAAGCCCUGGCUAACUCUGUGCCAGCAGCCGCGGUAAUAAGGU